GUGGGGGAUAUUGGACAAUGGGGGCAACCCUGAUCCAGCGACGCCGCGUGAGUGAAGAAGUAUUUCGGUAUGUAAAGCUCUAUCAGCAGGGAAGAUAAUGACAGUACCUGACCAAGAAGCACCGGCUAAAUACGUGCCAGCAGCCGCGGUAAUACGUAUGGUGCAAGCGUUAUCCGGAUUUACUGGGUGUAAAGGGAGCGUAGGCGGUCUGCCAAGUCUGAUGUGAAAACCCGGGGCUCAACCCCGGGAGUGCAUUGGAAACUGGCGGACUGGAGUGUCGGAGAGGUAAGCGGAAUUCCUAGUGUAGCGGUGAAAUGCGUAGAUAUUAGGAGGAACACCAGUGGCGAAGGCGGCUUACUGGACGAUAACUGACGCUGAGGCUCGAAAGCGUGGGGAGCAAACAGG
rnacentral:rRNA from 1 species